GUAUCGUUGUCGGAAAAGUCGCAUUGAAAGACGUUGUGUGACGUAGCAGAUCUUGUGUUUUUUGUACACAACUACCGUUUGUACUAUACUCUGGCCAAUUUCUUUUGCAAUGCUUCUAUUAUUGUAUUAUUGUGAUUAUUUAUAAAGUAGAGUUGUGAUAAGUUUUCUCAGUACAACAGACAUAAUAAUCGGUUUCUCUCAAAGAACAGACUUGGAAAGAAAUUGAAAAACGUUUCUGUGCACAGCCAAAUUUCCCUGUUAGAAGUUCGACUCAAUUAAAGAAUUACUGGCGUCAUCUUAAAAGAAACGAAAUGAAGCUAACGAGAACGUCAAAGAAAAGGCCGGGUGAAAGCGUAAAAAAUGGGGCUUCGUUUGAUAAUACUGAAUACUGUGGCGGUCGCCACGGUGGUUAUGUAGAUCCGAAUGUAAUCAGUCAGCAUCCACUCGACAUCAUUUCCGAACCAUUCAGUGUAAAUAAUAGGACAUCUGCGCAUGAUUUAAGACUGGCAUUGUUAAAUGCUAAGAUCAAUGCUAUCGUGAAUGAACAUAAACUUAAAAUGGAGAUUCUGCGACAACAAGUCAUCGAAAGAUAAUAAAACCCCAUUACGAAAUCCAACGAAAUUCUAGAGUGGCAUACCUAAAACGUAUUGAAAACAAAACACAUUUUGUCAUACUGGCAUGGUUAAUAUGUUGUUUUUAUAUAUAUAUACGACAUAAUCUUUUCGAUUUUAAAUUUCUGAUACCGUAAUGUGUAUAAUAAAGAUUUCAUUUGAAAGUA